CAUCCAUACACUAAACCACAUUAUGAUGAUUGUGUGUUUUCCCUGCAUUCAGUACGCCACAAUGGGUGCAACAGCAAAGGUAUUAUCUACUUUUCUCUGUUUGAUUACCACGUGCAUAGCAUUAAAUUAUAUAGUUCCAGAGAACCUUCGAGUAGCAUGGUAUGGUAUAGUAGAACCACACGAAAACCCCUGCAUUUGUGAAACGCGCGUCGACCUAAGAUUUGCUCGAAGCAUAAUUUUGAAAACCGAAUUUCCCGACAACUCUCGUUUGAAGUGCUACAUGGGAUGUACAGCGGGUCGUAUGAAUUUCCUCGACAUGGCCACGGGCGAAUGGAGCGCGAAGGAGAUUAAUCGACAAAUGGCAGGUGUCACGUACAAGCUUGCAAGUAAUUGCAUCAAUCAGACAGCAGGAGGAUCAGAUUGGUGUCAGAGAUCUAUUGACAUAUUUAUGUGCAUUGUUUACGGUGUUACCGUUCCAGUAAUAGAUUACUGAUAUGCCAAUAGACUCAGUACACCUUAUCUGGAUGGAGUUGGUUAUAUAUACAAGUAGUAUAUUUAGUCGUGCUUUCACUGCAAAUGUACCCAAGUAUAGUAACGAUCUAUCUACAAACAUCAACUAUAAUUACUUAAGUAGUAAUGCACACUACACCACAAAGAGUUUCUUAUAAUAAUUAAAACGUAUCAAUCGCAAUUUCUUCUUUCUAACAAUCCAAGAACGGGGUUAUUUGAUUGAGCAUGCAGUAACAUUAUUCCGUCAUUCAGUUAGAUCCAUCGCCGAACGGAAUCUACAUGAGCUCCGAGCAAUAUAAAAGGAUCGCCCAAAGGAAUUUUGCCGUAACUAUCCUUUAAUGAAAAAUACUUUAAUACGGAUGCGGAUGUUCUCCGAUACCGCCUAAAAGAAGUGAAUAAUCAGCGUGUUUGCAACUCGUAGAAAUCUGGUGGAGGUGUAGGUAAUGCAACCUAAAAAUGUUUCCAGUGCGGUUGCUCUCAUUGUAACAAGAUGUUCAUAUCGAAAUGUGGUUUAAGUUGAAUUAAAAUCGCUGAGGGACGUUCAUUAUCACACUUACUUUCUGCUCGUAUCAUAUCAUAGGGUUCUAAAACUGUGAAAUUGCCUUAAAAUUUCCUUCGCAGAGAUAUCAAGGUAGCAAAAAACUAACAUAAAAUCACGCUCUUAGGAUAGCCUCGUGAGAAUAUUCACUCAUUUGGACUUUCGGUAGUGAUAGUAAUACAAUCUUCUAUACGGGGUGGCACAAGAAACGAAACGGACUCAAUAACUCGCAAGGAAAACAUCUUUUACUUCAAAAAUCUACACACCUGGUGAACGAGAGCUCGGUGCGAAAAAGUCCAUGGAUGAUGCAAGAAUGCCCCUUCCCCUCUCGGAUGUGCAAGGCUGUCGAGGUUAAUCGGCGGUUCAUAGGAAAAAAGUGUUCGAUACAAAAAAGGCGGUCCACAGAAGUGGCGAGAAGUGUCCUUCCUCUUCGGAUGUGGAAUGAGGUCGAGCCUAAUCGGCGGUUGAUACGGAAAAAACGUUCGAUACAGAAAAGGCGGCCGAGGGAAGAUACGAGAGGUGCCCUUCCCUCUCGGAUGUGGAUGUGGAUCGUAGCUCGGGGUCCGUAUAACCAACCUACUCUUUGGUAUAACGCUAUACAGGGUGGUGAUUUGCGUAACGCACCAUAGGGAUUUCAAUGUAAAAUUCAUAA